AGCUCUUGUCGCCAGGCUGGAGUGCAGUGGCGCAAUCUCAGUUCACUGCAACCUCCACCUCCCAGGUUCAAGCGAUUCUCCUGCCUCAGCCUCCUGAGUACCUGGGAUUACAGGCAAGUACCACUACACCCGGCUAAUUUUUUGUGUUUUUAGUAGAGAAGGGUUUCGCCAUGUUGGGCAGGCUGGUUUCGAACUCCUGACCUCAGGUGAUCUGCCCACCUCGACCUCCCAAAGUGCUGGGAUUACAGGCGUGAGCCACCGCGCCCGGCCAGCAUAUAUACUUUUAAAACAAGAGCUUAAAAAUUGGGGGAUGGAAAUAAACAAGAGACUGAGAUAGAAAAGGCCGGAAGAGAUAGGAAAUGCUGUAGGAACACUUAAGGAUUGUGGCUAAAAAAGCUGUGAUAUGAAGUCAGGGUGUCAGUUCAUUUGAGGGAGGAACUUUUUGUGUGUAACUCCCAGCCCUGCCACUUGCUGCCAUGUGCCUACCAUGAUGGGUUGUGUGGGUGAACUUAGGUAGCACAUGGCAUUGGCGACACCCAGCCACACAGAUCUAGGAGCUGCCAUUCACGUCAUCAUCGCUGCAAAUGCAGUGUGCACCCUGUGCAGGACACCUUGCAGCCCAGGAUGACACAAAGUGGAUGCUAGAUAAACAUUAGCUGCAAUCAGUGACACUGUAUGAAACUCCCCAUCAUGGUGGAAACUUGUACUGAGAAAAGAUGGCCACUUCUCAGGGUCAUUGUAGCAAACAGCAAAGGUAGAGGCUUGAAUGUGAUGUCCUUGGAGUGGCCAUCCCAUGAUAAUUUAUAAUUCUUUUAUUUUAUCACUGUUAUUACCCCUUCUACCAUAUUCCGUAUUUCUAACUCAUUGUCCCUUCUUUCUUUCCUGUUAAAACCUUUCUGCCCUUGAGCAAAGCAAAGAGCAAUAGCACUACCUGCUACCACCUACUAGAAAUGUCGUCUUGUAGAACAAAGAAAUACGCACGCCCUGCUGUUCUGCAAUCAGGCUCUGACAGAAGCUUUCAGGUGUGGUGCUUACAAGAUCAGACUCAUUGACUCACUCACUUCUCCCUGCUCCGUCACUACACUCCCAGGACAAGAUAUUUUGCUUAACAAAUAAUGACUACAUCCAACCAGAUAAGGAUACAAACAAGCACAUUCUUCCACUAUCAGUCCUCACCAGAGGACUCUGUGGCCAUAAAAAGAGUAAGGCUUCAGCAGCUCAACACAACCGACGCAGUCCUGCUAUCAGUUGCGAUAAGCACCUGGCAUCUGCCUACAAAGGCUCUGCCCACAUCAAAGACUCUUCCUUGCGAGACUGAGGGACUGCCCAGGCCAAGCCAGGAGAUUCUUUUUGUCUUCGUUGUUCUCCCUGCAAUGGUUCAUUAACUCUUUUUUCUCUCCCUUUUCUCUUGAUGUUAAAUGUUACUUUGUGAGCUGUGGAAUGUUUAACAUGUAUAUAGUGACCACGUAUUCUAUUACAUAUGGUUUUCAGUAUUGACUGACUUGUGGAGUGGCUUGAGCCUGUGUGCCCGCUAUUCUGACUACCGAGUGAAUGGGAAGUUCUGAGGAGAACCUCUUUCUUGGGAACUCCAUUGAGCUCAUGGUUUUUGUGAU